rnacentral:lncRNA from 1 species
CCCACCCCCACCCCCCUCGUGCCCGCUCCGCUACGUAUUCCCGUAUUCCCGGGUGCCUGGCAACAGUGAUGUGCUUUAGGCCUUUUUUAGAAUGCAUACAAACGGAACCAUAUCUAAGUGAUGUCUGGCUUUUUUAACUUAGCACAAUGCUUUGAGAUUCAUACUAUUGUGUUUAAUUAGUAAUUCAUUUGUGUUAUUGUUGAAUGGUAGUCUAUCAUAUGGGUAAGCCACAGUUUAUUUAUCCAUUCACCAAUUGAUGGGCCUGUCGGUUGUAGGGAACAGGAGAAAACUUCCCCUUUGCCCUCUGAAGGGUCACCGAAAAUCAACUGACAAGGCUGGGCCUGGGCUCCUGCCUGUAACCCCAGCCCUUUUUUAGCCCAAGGCAGGAGGAUCUCUUCUUUGUGAAGUGUGUAUUCAAAUCUUUUGACCAUUUAUUUAUUAGCUAGCUUGACUUUUUAUCUAAGAGUUCUUUAUAUAUUAUUGAGUUCUUUAUAUGUUUCAUACCAUGUUCUUUAUUAGCUAUACGUUUUGAAAUGUUUUCUACCUGUCUGUGGCUUGCCUCUUCAUUUUAAGUGUCUUUUGAAGCACUGAAGUUUUCAAUUUUGAUGUAAUUUAUCCAUUUUUUUCUUUUACAUAGUUCAUACCUUUUUUGUCCUACUUAAGACAUUUUUGCUAAAUUCAAGAUUAUAAGAUUUCCUCAUUUGUUACCUUCUGGAAGUUUUAUAAUUGUUGGUCUUCAUUAUAUUUAAAAUGAAUUAUUCUUUAUAGUAUCGAUAGAUGCUGGAGGCAGAUAAGGGAGGGUCCCUGGAGAAUCUCUGACCUGCCUCACAAGCUUUUGUGCAGCUGAGGAAGCCUGCCCAGGGUCUUGUCUGGGCAUGCCCACAAGGGACUUGGGGGCCCACUGCACCAGGAGAGUGGGGUGCAGCCAGAGGGAAUUCAGCCUUAUGCAGCAGGGAUGAGCAAGAAGUCUUCAGCUUGUGUGUGUUGGCCUGUUAUUCAGUCUGUGAGCUGGGAGCCUGUUGGCAGGACCCUCCUUGUUUUUUUGCUAAGAGCUUUUAAUAAAUGCCACUCUUCACCUUGCAAUGUAUUCACAUGCCUAAUUGUUCCUGGUCAUGAGACAAGAACCUGGAUUUUAGCUGAGCUAAGGAGCAAAAAUUCCUGCAUCAGUAUGAGGUGUAAGGAAGAACAGAAGGAUCCAAGUGUGAGAAAGCCCACCCUGAGUCUCUCAGAGAUUCAUUUCACUACCAGGUCAAAGACACAAUCAAAAGCCCGACAAAUGGAAUUUGUGGAAUUGGAACAAAAAGGCACAAGAACAUCAAAGCAUAAAUCCUUCAGGUAUCAGCAAUGACAUCACUUAAGAAUUUCUCAGAAUCUUUGGCACCACCCCAGGCCUACCGGAUCAGAAUCUGAAUUUUUUAACAAGAUCUCAGAUCUAGUCAAGAGUCCAGUCUGAUUUCUCUUUAUUGGGACUACCACCCAAAGCAGAAUGAGGAUGAUGUAACCACGCCCAGUGACUUCUGGAUACCACUGACUCUAGAUCCUGAAUUCCAGCAGAAUGGCUGACACCAACUGGUCUGAAGACCCUCACCAAGGAACUGACUCAGUGCAGGAAUGCAGUUUCUUCAUCUCCCUAUCCCUGACUUCACCCCUCACUUCUCAACCAAUCAGUGAUCACCACACUUUAGGCCAUCACCUGUGUCCAGACCCCUUAAAAACCCCAUCUGCAAACCUCUUGAAGAGGCAUAUUUGAGGUUUCCUCUCAUCUCCUCAUUUGGUUUCCCUACAAUUAUUAAAUUCUUUCUCUGCUGCAACUCCUACUUUUUCAGUGUAUUGGUCUGUUACUGUGCAACAGGAAAUCAGACCUGGUGGUCCUAUAGUAAGAGUUCACAGAAUAUGAUAUACAAAGUGAUCUGUGAUAUACAAAAACCGGCACAAUCUCACUCUUAAUAAGAAAAAUUCAACUUAAAAUUAAAAGUUUUUUUUCCUCAGAAUGGCAAAGAUCAAAGUUUGAUAACAUGGUUGGAAAGUAUGCAGACCGAUAUUCUCAUAUUCAUUGAUGAAGUGUAAAUUGAUACAUCCUUUGUCAGUACGGACAGGUUUCCCAACUCUAGGGGUGAAAUUUAUACAGACUACAGUGUGAAUGACAACCACUUCAAAUUGGGUGAUAUGAUGACCUUGACUCUGUGGAGGGUCAUUUGGCAAAAUAUCUCAAAAUAAAAAUGUACAUACAAUUUGA